rnacentral:rRNA from 1 species
UGCGUAGGCGGCGCGGUAAGUCGGGUGUGAAAUCUCGGAGCUUAACUCCGAAACUGCAUUCGAUACUGCCGUGCUCGAGGACUGGAGAGGAGACUGGAAUUUACGGUGUAGCGGUGAAAUGCGUAGAUAUCGUAAGGAAGACCAGUGGCGAAGGCGGGUCUCUGGACAGUUCCUGACGCUGAGGCACGAAGGUCAGGGGAGCAAACGG